CCUACGGGUGGCAGCAGUCGAGAAUCAUUCACAAUGGGGGAAACCCUGAUGGGGCGACGCCGCGUGGGGGAAUGAAGGUCUGCGGAUUGUAAACCCCUGUCAUGUGGGAGCAAAUUAAAAAGAUAGUACCACAAGAGGAAGAGACGGCUAACUCGGGGCCAGCAGCCGCGGUAAUACAGAGGUCUCAAGCGUUGUGCGGAAUCCCUGGGCGUAAAGCGUGCGUCGGCUGUUUCGUAAGGCGUGUGUGAAAGGCGCGGGCUCAACCCGCGGACGGCACAUGAUACUGCGAGACUAGCGUACUGGAGGGGGAACCGGACUUCUCGGUGUAGCUGUGAAAUGCGUAGAUAUC
rnacentral:rRNA from 1 species